rnacentral:rRNA from 1 species
GACGAACGCUGGCGGCGUGCCUAAUACAUGCAAGUAGAACGCAGUUGCGAACGGGUGAGUAACGCGUAGGUAACUGCCUCAUAGCGGGGAAUAAUUAUAGGAAACGAUAGCUACUACCGCAUACUGUUAGGUGGACCUGUGUUGUAUUAGCUAGUUGGUGAGGUAAAGGCUCACCAAGGCGAUGAUGAAUAGCCGGCCUGAGAGGGUGAUCGGCCACACUGGGACUGAGACACGGCCCAGACUCCUACGGGAGGCAGCAGUAGGGAAUCUUCGGCAAUGGACGGAAGUCUGACCGAGCAACGCCGCGUGAGUGAAGAAGGUUUUCGGAUCGUAAAGCUCUGUUGUUCGAGAAGCGGUAACUAAACAGAAAGCGACGGCUAACUACGUGCCAGCCGCCGCGGUAAUUC